rnacentral:lncRNA from 1 species
UGCAUCUUAUCUUUAAUUGUAUUAAACAAUAAAAACACAACUUUCUGUUCUGAAGUCUCUUAGGUCUGUCAGUCUCAUCAUGUAGUUUGAUAUUUAUGUGGAAAAACUAAGGUGGUGUUUAGUUGCCAAAUUUUUUUUCAAAAAUAUCACAUCGUUGACCGGACGUCAGAAGGGGUUUUCGGAUACGAAUGAAAAAACGAAUUUCACGGCUA